UACGUAGGGGGCAAGCGUUGUUCGGAAUUACUGGGCGUAAAGGGCGCGUAGGCGGCACAGCAAGUCGGGAGUGAAAGCCCGGGGCUCAACCCCGGAAUGGCUUUCGAAACUGCUGAGCUAGAGUACAGAAGGGGCAACCGGAAUUCCCAGUGUAGCGGUGAAAUGCGUAGAUAUUGGGAAGAACACCUGAGGUGAAGACGGGUUGCUGGGCUGACACUGACGCUGAGUGCGCGAAAGCUAGGGUAGCAAACGGG
rnacentral:rRNA from 1 species